UUUUUAUUGUUCAAUCUUGUUAAGCCUUCUGAUGUAUCCUUUCUCUAUAGUUUAUUAUAGUUUUAGUAUAACAUUUCUUUUAAUAUAAUAUAAUAAUAUAAUAAAUCAGCCUUCUAAGAAGAUGGAGUCAGAUUCAUCUCUUCGCUCAUCAUGGGACCCUCACAAACACCACACAUGUGCUUCAGGCAGCCUGUUCCUGACUCAUCCCCUUCUGAGCUGGAGUGAAGCACACCGGUCACUCUGGCUUUGAGUCCACUACUCUGAGAAAA